GUUUGCAUUGCCGUGUCUCUUACGGGUAUUCUUGGGUAAAUAAUACAACAUCAGGCUGUUAUUGCUUGAGAAUACACGUAACGGCCUCGGUUAAAUCACAGC